rfam:Schistosoma mattheei strain Denwood, Zambia genome assembly, scaffold: SMTD_scaffold0005217
AUCCAGCUGACGAGUCCCAAACAGGACGAAACGCGCGUUCUGGAU